CCUACGGGAGGCUGCAGUGAGGAAUAUUGGUCAAUGGGCGCGAGCCUGAACCAGCCAAGUAGCGUGAAGGAUGACUGCCCUACGGGUGUUAAACUUCUUUUAUAAAGGAAUAAAGUGAGGCAUGUGUGCCGUUGUGUGUGUACUUUAUAAAUAAGGAUCGGCUAACUCCGUGCCCGCAGCCGCGGUAAUACGGAGGAUCCGAGCGUUAUCCGGAUUUAUGGGGUUUAAAGGGAGCGUAGAUGGGUUGUUAAGUCAGUUGUGAAAGUUUGCGGCUCAACCGUAAAAUUGCAAUUGAUACUGGCAGCCUUGAGUACAGUUGAGGUAGGCGGAAUUCGUGGUGUAGCGGUGAAAUGCUUAGAUAUCACGAAGAACUCCGAUUGCGAAGGCAGCUUACUAAACUGCCACUGACAUUGAUGCUCGAAAGUGUGGGUAUCAAACAGGAUUAGAUACCCUUGUAGUC
rnacentral:rRNA from 1 species